GAUGAACGCUGGCGGCGUGCCUAAUACAUGCAAGUCGAGCGAACAGAUGAGGAGCUUGCUCCUCUGACGUUAGCGGCGGACGGGUGAGUAACACGUGGAUAACCUACCUAUAUGUCUGGGAUAACUUCGGGAAACCGGAGCUAAUACCGGAUAAUAUAUUGAACCGCAUGGUUCAAUAGUGAAUGACGGCUUUGCUGUCUCUUAUAGAUGGAUCCGCGCCGCAUUAGCUAGUUGGUAAGGUAACGGCUUACCAAGGCAACGAUGCGUAGCCGACCUGAGAGGGUGAUCGGCCACACUGGAACUGAGACACGGUCCAGACUCCUACGGGAGGCAGCAGUAGGGAAUGUUCGGCAAUGGGCGAAAGCCUGACGGAGCAACGCCGCGUGAGUGAUGAAGGUCUUCGGAUCGUAAAACUCUGUUAUUGGGGAAGAACAAAUGUGUAAGUAACUAUGCACGUCUUGACGGUACCUAAUCAGAAAGCAACGGCUAACUACGUG
rnacentral:rRNA from 1 species